rnacentral:rRNA from 1 species
AUGGAUUCACAUGUGCAUGGCAAUAAGCAAGCGGAGUAUGAAAGGUUGUUUCAUGAAGCCCGCCAGGAGAUCGACGCGAAGGACCGCGAGGUCAUGGAAAAGAAAUUCCAGCUGGCGUACAAGGAGAUGCAGCUUAAAUUGCAAAAGGACCGGAAGGUUGUCGACGGCCUUAUACAGACAGAGCGUAUCAACAUGGAUGUGAAUGUGUUGCAGGCACGUGCCAAUAUGGACAUUAGGCUGCAACAUGAGCGCAAGGACAUGGACUACAAGGCUAUGGUGGAGCAGGUUAUGAAUGAAGGAAAGAUAAUGGAAGACCGUACGCACAUCCCAGUGACGGAACAAUCCAGAAUCCUCACAGAUAAAGUUUACAUCCCAUAUAAUAAUAAGGUGCUGGUAAUGGAAUUUUACAUUCAUAGGGAUUGUGAGCUUUCGCAUGUCCUGAUAGGAUACUUUGACGAAAGACCCAUUGAGAUGAGAUUGUUUGACCCCAGCGUAUUGGACUGUGAUUUUCUCAUGAAAGAAGUGACUGGAUAUGGUUAUAAAAAGGAUUUAGAUUUUUACCACUUCUUACCUGAGCAUGCGUGCAAUCUACCAUAA